UAAGACAGAGGGCGCGAGCGUUGUUCGGAAUCACUGGGCGUAAAGCGCGCGCAGGCGGAUACAGCAAGUCUGGAGUGAAAUCUCGCCGCUCAACGGCGAGGCUGCUCUGGAAACUGCGUGUCUGGGGACCGGUAGAGGCCGGUGGAAUUGCUGGUGUAGCGGUGGAAUGCGUAGAGAUCAGCAAGAACACCCGUGGCGAAGGCGGCCGGCUGGGCCGGAUCCGACGCUGAGGCGCGAAAGCGUGGGGAGCAAACAGGAUUAGAUACCCUGGUAGUCCACGCCGUAAACGAUGGGCACUAGGUGCCGGGGGGAGCGACCCCUUCGGUGCCGCAGCUAACGCGAUAAGUGCCCCGCCUGGGGAGUACGGCCGCAAGGCUG
rnacentral:rRNA from 1 species